AAUCUAUGGUAUGGGUAUCUUUGAAUUAAUGUUUUAAAACGCUACCAAGCUUCAUGAAAACUUUCCCCUCUAAUUAUUUAAAAGUUGUGAUCUCCCUCCUUAGUUG
rfam:Gossypium hirsutum cultivar TM-1 chromosome 4, whole genome shotgun sequence